rnacentral:rRNA from 1 species
GACGAACGCUGGCGGCGCGCUUAACACAUGCAAGUCGAACGGAAAGGCCUGCUUUCCCUUGUGGAUUGAGGGUACUCGAGUGGCGAACGGGUGAGUAACACGUGAGUGAUCUGCCCCCAACUUGGGUAUAAGCCUGGGAAACUGGGUCUAAUUCCCGAUAGGAACGCAGGGUGGUGCCUGUGGUGGGAGACGAUUUUCUAGUGGGUGGGGCUGCGCUCGCGGCCUAUCAGCUUGUUGGUGGGGUAGUGGACUACCACGGCGGCGAAGGGGCGCCGGCCUGUGAGCGGGGACGCUCAGAUUGGGACUCGGCCCCGGCCCCGACUCCUGCGGGAGGCAGCAGUGGGUAGUCAUGGACCAAGGGCGGAAGCCUGAAGCAGCGACGCAGCGUGGGGGAUUACGGCCUUCGGGUUGUAAACUCCUUUCGACGGCGAGGAAGCUACCUGGUUGGAAGGGUGGUGACGGUAGUGGUAGAAGAAGCACCGGCUAACUACGUG